rnacentral:lncRNA from 13 species
AUGUUCAGCCAGGCUGUUCAUGCUCACUGUUGCUUCAUUCUCCAUGAUAUAUACUCACCAUAUGCUGCCUACCUAAUCUGCAUUGACGGAUUUCCGGAUUGCCGCCAACUUCCUGUCACCACAAACAACACUAUAAUGAACAUCUUCAAAGACAUCUCCUUAUGGAUCUGGGUAACUGACAUUUCACUGGACACUUCUUAUCCCUGUUACCACCAUCACCACAAAGCAAUCUUCAGAGUUAUGAUUUAGAACUCAGGAGCUGCUAGACCUGUGCACUGGACAGCUCAAGAAUUCCAUACUUCAGCCCUCGAGUUGGAACCCUGAUGCUUCCAGCUGGAAAUGAGAAAAACUUUGUCAUCUAAAGAUGAACCCCCAAUAAAUAAAAUCUCUGAUCUCUGCUUAGAAUACUC